AAUAAAUCUCGGUCAGCAUCAUCUAUCUCAAGCUCCUCAUACUCUUCUUCUUCUUGAGAAGUAAUGCUUUCACUAUCGGAUACAUUUCUAGCAUGCUCUGAUUCUUCAUAGCUUGAUUCAAUUGCCGGAUUUUCUAAAGUGUCUUUUUGAUGUCCAUUACUAAUAAAAGCACUGAUCUGUGAAGGUUUUCCAUUUUCUUCUUCAUCCAACUCCUCUUUUUGUUCCCUUGCUAAUUGUAAAAUUUUUUUAGAAGUCUUGGCAUCCAAGAAGCCGUUUCCGGUGUUGCUUUCUUUCGACUUUUUCUGUUUGCUAGGUUUCUGUCUCAAGACACCACUUUCUGAAGAUUCUGCAAUGUCCUUAUAAAGAGGAGCAUGAUGCAGUUUAGUUUUUGGAGCCUUGGGCAUUAUCAAU